rnacentral:rRNA from 1 species
UACGUAGGGGGCAAGCGUUGUCCGGAAUCAUUGGGCGUAAAGCGCGUGUAGGCGGCCCGGUAAGUCCGCUGUGAAAGUCGGGGGCUCAACCCUCGAAUGCCGGUGGAUACUGUCGGGCUAGAGUGCGGGAGAGGCGAGUGGAAUUCCUGGCGUAGCGGUGAAAUGCGCAGAUAUCAGGAGGAACACCGAUUGCGAAGGCAGCUCGCUGGGACGUAACUGACGCUGAGACGCGAAAGCGUGGGGAGCAAACAGG